CUACAAUGAAAUUCCUGGUCUUGAUUAGUAUUUUGAGUGUGCUCAUGCAAAGAACAUGGGGAAAUGUUCAAGGCAACUAUGAUUCCCUCAGCGAAGAGAUUUUAAGUGAUAUUGACUUUAAUGUUGAUCAGUUUGAACGCCAGCCUCUAGAAGAAAAUCUGCCUUAUUCUCUGGAAGAUGAUGGAUCUCAAAAUUUUGUACCCAUUUAAAGAACACAAGAUAUGGGUCUUUGAAACAUCUCCUUCCUGAACAUCGAUGUAUAUACUUCAUCUAACAAAUCAAAUUCUUACUCUAUGUUCUAUACACAUGAGUUUGGUUCUACUAUGAUGGCAUCUGUGGAUUAUAUCAUGUCUACCAAAGGA